UGGGGAAUUUUGGACAAUGGGGGAAACCCUGAUCCAGCCAUCCCGCGUGUGCGAUGAAGGCCUUCGGGUUGUAAAGCACUUUUGGCAGGAAAGAAACGUCAUGGGUUAAUACCCCGUGAAACUGACGGUACCUGCAGAAUAAGCACCGGCUAACUACGUGCCAGCAGCCGCGGUAAUACGUAGGGUGCUAGCGUUAAUCGGAAUUACUGGGCGUAAAGCGUGCGCAGGCGGUUCGGAAAGAAAGAUGUGAAAUCCCAGAGCUCAACUUUGGAACUGCAUUUUUAACUACCGGGCUAGAGUGUGUCAGAGGGAGGUGGAAUUCCGCGUGUAGCAGUGAAAUGCGUAGAUAUGCGGAGGAACACCGAUGGCGAAGGCAGCCUCCUGGGAUAACACUGACGCUCAUGCACGAAAGCGUGGGGAGCAAACAGG
rnacentral:rRNA from 1 species